rnacentral:piRNA from 1 species
CUCCAUAUCCGAGCCUUUGUUUGACUUUG